AAAAGUGGGUGAUCCCAAGCUGAAGUAGCAACAGGAGCACAUGGGAGAAAGUUAUACAAUGAACUAUGUUACAAAAUGAUAAAUGGAAUAACUUUAUUGAGGGAAUCUACUAAAGAGUAUGAUCCCAGAUAUUAGUAGAUUCCCUCAAUAAAGUUAUUCCAUUUAUCAUUUUGUAACAUAGUUCAUUGUAUAACUUUCUCCCAUGUGCUCCUGUUGCUACUUCAGCUUGGGAUCACCCACUUUU